UACGAAGGGGGCAAGCGUUGUUCGGAAUUACUGGGCGUAAAGGGCGCGUAGGCGGCUUAUCAAGUCAGGCGUGAAAUUCCCGGGCUCAACCUGGGGGCUGCGCUUGAUACUGAUGAGCUUGAAUGCGGGAGAGGAUAGUGGAAUUCCCAGUGUAGAGGUGAAAUUCGUAGAUAUUGGGAAGAACACCGGUGGCGAAGGCGGCGUUCUGGACUGCUACUGACACUGAGGAACGAAAGCCAGGGGAGCAAACGGG
rnacentral:rRNA from 1 species